CAGUAAAAAAAAUACUAUAAUAAAUCGGUAACAUAUGUUGCCAGACAAGAAUAAGUGAUAUAAAUAAAGAGUCAAGAGACAUAGCCCCUCAAGAAUAAUGCAUAAAGAUUUAAACUUCCAAUGUACUAGUUAAGCUAGGAACAUUUUAGGAGGAACUUGAAAGUGGUGUUCUGUUUGUUUAUAUCAUUCCUUCUCUUUUUUUUUUUUUUUUCUCUUUUUCUUCUCUUCAGAUUGCAUUUUAAAUCAAAAUGUUCUCCAUGACUGACUGCUUUGCAGCACUAGGUGCGCAGCCCCACAAAUUAAAUUGAUGAUUCCUACAUCGGGCCAAAAAUGCAACAGGAGAAGGCUGUGAAAAAUUAGAAAAUCUUCUUGACAUCGGGAAAUCCGACACUUGUCUGCUCUAACAUCUGUAAGUGCCAAAGAAAGAGGGGGAUUUUUUUCCUUAAAGGUUGUUUCCACUUUUGCUGCCUUUGCCUCUGAGAAGUUGAGUAAAUCCUCUGGCCUCUUUCAAAUAUUUUCUCAUCUGCACUGAAUUUCUACCGACAAAGCAGCUGAUAGAUACGGACCUCAGAAAUAUUUAUUAUCAUUGAGUAAGGUUUUCUUUUUUUUUUUUUUUUACUUAAUCUGAGGCAAUUAGUUCCUGAAUAAACACAGACUAUGUAAUCUACCUCCUCAAAAGAUAAUCAGACUUGAAAAGAGCUGUUCAGUCCUACCCAAGAAAAGCAC